AUAUGAGGGUAACCUAGGGAACUGAAACAUCUAAGUACCUAGAGGAAGAGAAAGAAAAAUCGAUUUUCUUAGUGGCGGCGAGCGAAAAGGAAAGAGCCCAAACCAAAGAUUUAUCUUUGGGGUUGCGGACAGAACAUUAACUUAGGAAGCUAUUGUAACCGAAGAUAACUGGAAAGUUAAACCGUAGAGUGUAAUAGUCACGUAGGUGAAACGAGAAGGCCUAAAGUUCUGAUCCAGAGUACCANNUCCGAAUGAGGAAACUCACAUGGGUUAACCCCAUGUAUCAUAUAGUGAAUACAUAGCUAUAUGAGGGUAACCUAGGGAACUGAAACAUCUAAGUACCUAGAGGAAGAGAAAGAAAAAUCGAUUUUCUUAGUAGCGGCGAGCGAAAAGGAA
rnacentral:rRNA from 1 species